rnacentral:tRNA from 1 species
GAGGGUAUAGCUCAAGUGGUAGAGUGCAUGUUUAGCAUUCAUGAGGUCCUAGGUUCAGUCCCCACUACCUCCU